GAUGAACGCUGGCGGCGUGCCUAAUACAUGCAAGUCGAGCGAACGGACGAGAAGCUUGCUUCUCUGAUGUUAGCGGCGGACGGGUGAGUAACACGUGGAUAACCUACCUAUAAGACUGGGAUAACUUCGGGAAACCGGAGCUAAUACCGGAUCAUAUUUUGAACCGCAUGGUUCAAAAGUGAAAGACGGUCUUGCUGUCACUUAUAGAUGGAUCCGCGCUGCAUUAGCUAGUUGGUAAGGUAACGGCUUACCAAGGCGACGAUGCAUAGCCGACCUGAGAGGGUGAUCGGCCACACUGGAACUGAGACACGGUCCAGACUCCUACGGGAGGCAGCAGUAGGGAAUCUUCGGCAAUGGGCGAAAGCCUGAUGGAGCAACGCCGCGUGAGUGAUGAAGGUCUUCGGAUCGUAAAACUCUGUUAUUAGGGAAGAACAGAUGUGUAAGUAUCUGUGCACAUCUUGACGGUACCUAAAGAGAAAGCCACGGCUAACUACGUG
rnacentral:rRNA from 1 species